rnacentral:tRNA from 1 species
AGGGAUAUAGCUCAGUUGGUAGAGUGCUUGCCUAGCAUGCAUAAGGCCUUGGGUUCAAUCCCCAGCACCACCA